AAAACAUUUAGCAUCGGGGGCUAGAAGUAGGCCUCCAUUCUUAGUUAGGCUCAACUUUUUGUUCAAGUUCUGGAUUGGGCACGACUUUCUUUCUGUUCUUACCCUCCUGUUGUUCGUCUUUAUAUUCCUUUCGUGCUUGAAGGAGAAGCUCAAACUGGUUCAAUAAAAUGGUAUAGUAGUAUAUUUUUCAUGAAAUAAAAUUGCUCGACAUAUCUGGCAAAAGCUACUCGUUGUGCAAGUUGAAUGUCAUUGCAGAAAAAAGAAACAGCUCACUGUAACCUGCAAAUACGUUUUGUGUUGAUGAUCUAUUUCAUUCAUGCAUUGAUAGCUCAUACAACGUCUGGAGAAACAAUUGUCGAAGUGCCACUGCAACUGCAACAAGCACUUCAAAACUUGUUGCUGCGUCACUUCACUUGAAAAUAUCUCACAGGUCGAUCUCAGUUUACUGUUCACCAACACCCUGAAGCAUCUCAUGCAUGCAUGCACACCAAUUCCCAGGAUCAUUUGACAUGAGAAGAUGCAUGCAUCAUACAUAUCAUGUCCUACCCAAAUGAAGUCCAACGUGGCCCUCUCGUUCGACCUACCCAAUGGACACUACAUAAUGUGCUUCCUUAAAAUGCACCCUUUUGAUUAAGUUCAACAUGCAUGCAUGCAUAGUAGUGAUCACUUAUUGCACGUGAGCAACCUAACAAGUAUUUUUCUUCAUUGUCAUCGUCAUCGAUCCAGCUAGCUAGAGGCAGAUCACAUGUGAUUUUGAUCAUGCGUGUCCAUUUCAUGCACCACUCGACUUCAAUGUCAUUUCACGGGUUGGAUGGAUGGCUGGCCGGGUAGGUCGAUCAGCUCAUAAUAAUUCAGAUCGAAUCGAAGCAGCAUUUAUAUAUCCUUAUUUGUUCAUCCUGAAGAUCACACUAGCUACGGUGUGUGAUGGAGAUGCGAUCACAUGGGGUUGUAGAUAUUUUAGGUAGGUUGGACGAUUAAUUUUCCUGUACAAGAUCGAGAAAUAUCAAGAUGGAUGGGCACGCAUGCUUAGGCCACAUUGGUUAUAACAAUAUGUACUCCUUCCAUUCCAAAAUAAGAAAAAAUGACUCAACUUUAUACUACAAAAUUGAGUCAUUUUUAAGUCACUUAUAUUAAAACGAAGGAAGUAGAUAUUUUAGCUCGGGCAAUUAAUUCUUCUGUGCAAGGAAACCAUCAAGAUUGGAUGGGUACCCAUCCUUGGAGGGACACUCGGGUUAACUGUGUGUAGUCAUAUAAGAUAAGACCCAAGACAUGCCAAAUUGUAGACGGUGACGUACAUGCUCGAGUGAUUUAUCAGAAAGCAACAUUACGAUAUGGUGAUCUUUUUAUGGGACCAUGUAAGUAUAGCAAGAUUUAAGCCAACAAUUGAUCCACGUUACAAUCUUGUACCAGUGCUAGAUGACGUACAUGCUCGAAUUAUAGGAUGCACACGGAUCCCUCUAGGAUGUAUGAUAAAAUGACUCAAAUAUCGGAAAUUGCUUUUGGAGGCCGAGCUAUACAUGGAGGACUCCAAAAGCAAAUUCCAAAUUUUGUGAAAAUUUGUAUUUUAAUAUUUUAAAAAAAUCAGAAAAAAUACAUAGAUAGAUGAAGGUAUAGUACAUAAGUGUGUUAAUUUUUAGAACCAAC
rnacentral:lncRNA from 1 species